CCCGUCUUUGGCAUGGAUGACCGGGGCUUUUGUGAUGCGCUCUCGAAGAGUCGAGUUGUUUGGGAAUGCAGCUCAAAAUGGGUGGUGAACUCCAUCUAAAGCUAAAUAUUGGCGAGAGACCGAUAGCGAACAAGUACCGUGAGGGAAAGAUGAAAAGCACUUUGGAAAGAGAGUGAAACAGUACGUGAAAUUGUUGAAAGGGAAACGCUUGAAGUCAGUCGCGUCGGCCGAGACUCAGCCUUGCCUCGGCUUGGUGUACUUCUUGACCGACGGGUCAGCAUCAAUUUUGCCCCUUGGAUAAUGGCGAGGGAAAUGUGACACCUUUAUAGGUGUGUUAUAGUCUCUCGUCGCAUGCAAGGGUCGGGAUUGAGGAACUCAGCACGCGCCUUCGGGCGUCGGGGCCUUGCCCACGAUACGUGCUUAGGAUGUUGGCGUAAUGGCUUUAAACGACCCGUCUUGAAACACGGACCAAGGAGUCUAACAUGCCCGCGAGUGUUCGGGUGGAAAACCCGUGCGCGCAAUGAAAGUGAAAGUUGGGACCUCUGUCGCGGAGGGCACCGACGCCCGGACCAGAGCUUCUGCGAYGGAUCUGCGGUGGAGCGUGUAUGCUAGGACCCGAAAGAUGGUGAACUAUGCCUGAAUAGGGUGAAGCCAGAGGAAACUCUGGUGGAGGCUCGUAGCGAUUCUGACGUGCAAAUCGAUCGUCAAAUUUGGGUAUAGGGGCGAAAGACUAAUCGAACCAUCUAGUAGCUGGUUCCUGCC
rnacentral:rRNA from 1 species